UACAGAGGGUGCAAGCGUUAAUCGGAAUUACUGGGCGUAAAGCGUGCGUAGACGGUUAUGUAAGUCAGAUGUGAAAGCCCCGGGCUCAACCUGGGAAUUGCAUUUGAGACUGUGUAGCUAGGGUGCGGAAGAGGGAAGCGGAAUUUCCGGUGUAGCGGUGAAAUGCGUAGAUAUCAGGAGGAACACCAAUGGCGAAGGCAGCUCGCUGGGACGGUACUGACACUGAGACGCGAAAGCGUGGGGAGCAAACAGG
rnacentral:rRNA from 1 species